AUUGAACGCUGGCGGCAUGCUUUACACAUGCAAGUCGAACGGUAACAGGGAGCUUGCUCCGCUGACGAGUGGCGAACGGGUGAGUAAUAUAUCGGAACGUACCCAGAAGUGGGGGAUAACGUAGCGAAAGUUACGCUAAUACCGCAUACGAUCCACGGAUGAAAGUAGGGGACCUUUGGGCCUUAUGCUUUUGGAGCGGCCGAUAUCUGAUUAGCUAGUUGGUGAGGUAAAGGCUCACCAAGGCGACGAUCAGUAGCUGGUCUGAGAGGACGACCAGCCACACUGGAACUGAGACACGGUCCAGACUCCUACGGGAGGCAGCAGUGGGGAAUUUUGGACAAUGGGCGCAAGCCUGAUCCAGCAAUGCCGCGUGAGUGAAGAAGGCCUUCGGGUUGUAAAGCUCUUUUGUCAGGGAAGAAACGGCUGUGGCUAAUAUCCACGGCUAAUGACGGUACCUGAAGAAUAAGCACCGGCUAACUACGUGCCAGCCGCCGCUGUAA
rnacentral:rRNA from 1 species